rnacentral:snoRNA from 1 species
UCAAAGAUGAAGGUAACCUCAUCUUGACUAGUUUUUCAAAUCUAUUUUUGAAAGAGUCAAUGUUUUCCUUGACCAUUAUCCAUUUCUUC